AAGUGCUCUCUCUCUCUCUCUGUCUCUCUGGCGUCUCGUUGACUAGUUGUGUUCUUAUCAAGCUUCUCUUCUUCUCUUGGUCUCGUUGUGUUCUUAUCGAACUUCUCCUGGUCUCGUUGUGUUCGAACUUCUCUUUCCUCUCUUGGUCUCGUUGUGAUCGAACUUCUCUUUCUUCUCUUGUGUUCUUACCAAGCGCUUUAUUACGUGAAGGUAUUGCAAAUGUGAGAUGCCAUACAAUCCGGACGAUUUGAUGGUUCAGUGCGAGUCCUGCAAGGAUUGGUAAGUCCUCUUCAUCCAAACGAGCAAAGUUUUGAUGCAAAAUACCUCCUUUGCGUCUCCAGGUUCCAUCCGACCUGCAUGAGUCUAUCUCCUGACCAAGUCAAGAAGUUGGAAACGUUCCAUUGCCCGGAGU
rnacentral:lncRNA from 1 species